rnacentral:rRNA from 2 species
GCAGUCGACGAACUCUGGUAUUGAUUGGUGCUUGCAUCAUGAUUUACAUUUGAGUGAGUGGCGAACUGGUGAGUAACACGUGGGAAACCUGCCCAGAAGCGGGGGAUAACACCUGGAAACAGAUGCUAAUACCGCAUAACAACUUGGACCGCAUGGUCCGAGUUUGAAAGAUGGCUUCGGCUAUCACUUUUGGAUGGUCCCGCGGCGUAUUAGCUAGAUGGUGAGGUAACGGCUCACCAUGGCAAUGAUACGUAGCCGACCUGAGAGGGUAAUCGGCCACAUUGGGACUGAGACACGGCCCAAACUCCUACGGGAGGCAGCAGUAGGGAAUCUUCCACAAUGGACGAAAGUCUGAUGGAGCAACGCCGCGUGAGUGAAGAAGGGUUUCGGCUCGUAAAACUCUGUUGUUAAAGAAGAACAUAUCUGAGAGUAACUGUUCAGGUAUUGACGGUAUUUAACCAGAAAGCCACGGCUAACUACGUGCCAGCAGCCGCGGUAAUACGUAGGUGGCAAGCGUUGUCCGGAUUUAUUGGGCGUAAAGCGAGCGCAGGCGGUUUUUUAAGUCUGAUGUGAAAGCCUUCGGCUCAACCGAAGAAGUGCAUCGGAAACUGGGAAACUUGAGUGCAGAAGAGGACAGUGGAACUCCAUGUGUAGCGGUGAAAUGCGUAGAUAUAUGGAAGAACACCAGUGGCGAAGGC